UGAUACUGCACGACAGCGCCCCCAGCAGCCAGUCUUUGGUAAGUUGGUGGAAGAGGACCAGCGGCAGGCAGAAGAAGAGGACGAUGAAGUCCCAGAGCGCCAGGUUGGCCAGCAGAGAGUUGGAGAUGCUCCUCAUGUAGAAGACGUCCAGCGUGUCCGUGGCAUCCUGCAGCUGCAGCUUCAUCACCAGCACAAACUGCAGCAACUGAACGCAGAGAGCUGAGGACGACAAAGGCAGCACGUGACUGAUAGUCCCCAGCGUCAGAGCCCAGGGUCCC